rnacentral:rRNA from 1 species
AGACGUCUACAUUAGAUACCCCUGUAGUCCCAGCCGUAAACUAUGCGCGUUAGGUGUAUCGGUGACCACGAGUUACCGAGGUGCCGAAGGGAAACCGUGAAACGUGCCGCCUGGGAAGUACGGUCGCAAGGCUGAAACUUAAAGGAAUUGGCGGGGGAGCACAACAACGGGUGGAGCCUGGGGUUUAAUUGGACUCAACGCCGGACAACUCACCGGGAACGACAGCAAUAUGUAGGCCAGGCUGAAGACCUUGCCUGAAUCGCUG